GAGUGGAGCAGAAUCGUGGCCGUUAGUACGGCCUGCCAGGGAGUAAUGGAGCUGCGUAGGGUCCGUCGCAGGGAGCGGAGAAGAAACGUGGCCAUUAUUGUGGCCUGCCAGGGGCAGAUGGAGCUGCGUAGGGUCCGCCGUAGGGAGCGGAGCAGAAAUGUGGCCAUUAUUGUGGCUUACCAGGGGGUCCAGACUUGUCGGCCGAAGUUCGGUUGGAGUCGGUAGCUGGAGUCGAAAGUGAAGUUCAACACCUGUAGAAGCUCGGACGAGGUCUUCCUGUAGUUGAAAAUAGAAGACGGAGUCCAGCUCACGUAGGAGUCCAGACAAAGUCUGCCUGCAGUCCGAGUAGAAGAUGGAGUCCGGCUCUCGUAGAGGUCCGAACGAAGUCUGCCUGCAAGCGAAGUCAUGGGCGAAGCCCGGCUCCCGUAGGAGCUCGGGCGAAGCCUUUCCGCAGUC
rnacentral:lncRNA from 1 species